UGGUAGGUCUUGGUUUUAGUUGAGAAAAAGUGGAGCAAUGCUUCUUUUCUACCAUUUCUUUAACUUGCUGACGUUUUCUGGCAGUGAAGCAAAUGUUUUCUACUUGAGGUGCUACCAUGUUGUUUUUAUUUUGGUAGCUUGUGUACCCUUCAAUAUCUUGAUAUCAAGUUUCCAUUUAGAAAUGUGAACAAUACUUUUCGCUUUAGUCUUUCCUGCAGUUAAUUGGAUGGGGGAGGUGUAUGGAUCAACUAGGUUAUCAUAAUGAUGCUUACUAGUAAGGCUAACAGCCUGAGAAGAAAUUAUUUUAAUGCCAAAAACUGUUAGGAUCUUGCGCUUUGCUGUUUGUGACCCUGAUUGGUCUGACAAACAAGAAGCAAUUCAAUCACUAGACUUCAGAUAUAAGGACAUAUGGAGAACUGUUGGGGUAGAGAACGUGGGGAGUGAAGUAUUUUUGGGGCAGGAAAGGUUUUCUCCUUCAAGCACUUCUCUUCCCAUGUAAGUAAAAGGCCAAUUACCUAGUUUGUGUACCUCUCUUUGUCAUGCUUACAAGGGAAAAGUAUAUCUGCUUGGUGAUUUGAUGUUAUAGUUGUUAAGGGUGAUUAUUGGUCACUGGUAAUAUGCAACAUACCAGAAGACUGAGAAUUUGUGAGUUUGGUGUAUUUCUUAGGGCCAACAAGCAAACAGUCAUGAUGCUUUCUUGUAGCUCUUGGCCAAGUUAUUUUAAACAAUUGUUGGGUGUUUUUGAAUGGAUGUAGUUGAAAAACAGUGUCUUUCAAAUUACAAGUUCAAAUGCCUAAUAAGAGAAACAUGGUGGUUGAAAGAGUUGUCCUGAACUCUGGGAAUUGCAAA